rnacentral:rRNA from 1 species
GAUGAACGCUGGCGGCGUGCCUAAUACAUGCAAGUCGAGCGAACAGACGAGGAGCUUGCUCCUCUGACGUUAGCGGCGGACGGGUGAGUAACACGUGGAUAACCUACCUAUAAGACUGGGAUAACUUCGGGAAACCGGAGCUAAUACCGGAUAAUAUAUUGAACCGCAUGGUUCAAUAGUGAAAGACGGUUUUGCUGUCACUUAUAGAUGGAUCCGCGCCGCAUUAGCUAGUUGGUAAGGUAACGGCUUACCAAGGCAACGAUGCGUAGCCGACCUGAGAGGGUGAUCGGCCACACUGGAGCUGAGACACGGUCCAGACUCCUACGGGAGGCAGCAGUAGGGAAUCUUCCGCAAUAGGCGAAAGCUUGACGGAGCGACGCCGCGUGAGUGAUGACGGUCUUCGGAUCGUAAAACUCUGUUAUUAGGGAAGAACAAAUGUGUAAGUAACUAUGCACGUCUUGACGGUACCUAAUCAGAAAGCCACGGCUAACUACGUG